rnacentral:rRNA from 1 species
UACGUAGGGUGCGAGCGUUGUCCGGAAUUAUUGGGCGUAAAGAGCUCGUAGGCGGUCUGUCGCGUCGGAUGUGAAAAUCCAGGGCUUAACCCUGGACCUGCAUUCGAUACGGGCAGACUAGAGUUCGGUAGGGGAGACUGGAAUUCCUGGUGUAGCGGUGAAAUGCGCAGAUAUCAGGAGGAACACCGGUGGCGAAGGCGGGUCUCUGGGCCGAUACUGACGCUGAGACGCGAAAGCGUGGGGAGCGAACAGG